AUUGAACGCUGGCGGCAUGCCUUACACAUGCAAGUCGAACGGCAGCACGGGAGCAAUCCUGGUGGCGAGUGGCGAACGGGUGAGUAAUAUAUCGGAACGUGCCCAGUAGUGGGGGAUGACUGCUCGAAAGAGCAGCUAAUACCGCAUACGACCUGAGGGUGAAAGGGGGGGAUCGCAAGACCUCUCGCUAUUGGAGCGGACGAUAUCAGAUUAGCUAGUUGGUGGGGUAAAGGCCUACCAAGGCAACGAUCUGUAGUUGGUCUGAUAGGACGACCAGCCAAACUGUGACUGAGAGACGGCCCAGACGCCUACGGGAAGCAGCAGUGGGGAAUUUUGGACAAUGGGGGCAAGCCUGAUCCAGCAAUGCCGCGUGCAGGAAGAAGGCCUUCGGGUUGUAAACUGCUUUUGUCAGGGAAGAAAUCCUCUAGGUUAAUACCCUUGGGGGGAUGACGGUACCUGAAGAAUAAGCACCGGCUAACUACGUGCCAGCAGCCGCAGUAACAC
rnacentral:rRNA from 1 species